rnacentral:lncRNA from 1 species
GGGCACCUGUGAUUGCCAAAAGGCUCUGAAGGCAAUUCCGGUGAAAGUGGAGGUGCGGUGGGAAGGGAGGAACAGAGCAGAUGUGGAGGUGGGUGAGGCCUGGGAGCGGAGAGGUUGAUGGGAAGCAGGGGACUUGGUGACCGAGUCGGAAGAGGGACCACAGCGAUGCACGUGGCAAGGGUGAUGCUCUGGUCAGAGGUUAAAGGGAGGGGCAGAUUCUGAGGGGACAUCUGAGUGAAAUCAGUAUAAUUCCCUUGCUCACUGAUUCUGGUUCGGAGGACCUGAAGUUCCAGACCUAAUGGAAGCAUCAGCCUGCAGGACUGACAGCAAAGGCAGGGGCUGCAUCACCUCCGCGCUCUGAGCUUCAGUGUCUCAGCCCUAGAAUGGGGGGGAUAAGUUUACCUUGUGCAAAUGGUGUAAGGUUUUGAGUCAACACACAUAGUGAGGGCUUGAGAGAGGAUGCUGUGGCGUGUCUGCCCUGCUGUGCCAGCCAGAUCCCACCCCCUCUCCUCCCCUCUACCUCCCCAUCUCUCCCGCCCCCCAUGCCACCCCCCGCCCCAGGACAGGAGCAUUUACUUCCCCAGUCGCUGGGCAUGUUGGUGGCUGAUGGUUGACAGAGAGAGCCCUGACUCCCCCAAGGUCGGCCACAUCCUGGGACAGGUGGAUGUCAGUGUCCAAAGGCUCAGCUCCCCUGCCGAGUUGAGACAAGUCUGAAGCACCAGCCCAGCUUCAGAGCUCCGCGUGGGAUAAACCAAGGGUUUGUUGUGAUUGCACCACAGCCCAGCCUCUCUCUGUCUAAUCCUGCUUCCUUCGUUACCCCCGACAGGACAGCUUUUAUUCCCAAGCACACUCCCCAGUAAACUUCCUGUGUGUGAUUCUCCAUCUCUGAGCCUGCUUCCCAGGGAACCCACCUAUGAUGGAUGGUAGUAUUUUGGCCACUAGAAUAUCAGGUGUUUCCCAAUGGCUGGAAUCUUAGACAUUAUUCUGCGAAGUUUCAGAAGUUGAGAAGGAAAGCACUGUUCUAGAGGACUGGCCUGUGGGUCACGGGUUUCUCAAGCGUGUUAGAGAUUCUUUUUUGUGCCACGGACCCUCUCUUAGACUGAUGUUUAUAAAUGCAUAAAACAAAUACAUGGGAUUGUAAAGGAAACCCAUUUUAUUGAAACAUAGUCAUCAAACUGUCACAAAAUAGACUAUGACUAUGAGUAUCUGAUAUAGCAAUAUGGAAAUUAUUGUGAUACAGUAAUACAGUUAAUGAAAGAUCUAUCAGUGGGUCUAAAAAUCUAGAAAAACGAUGUAUUGAUGAUAUCUCAAGAUGUCUGGAGCAGUUGUAGUGUGAUGUGAAGAUAUCUGGCUUCAACUGAUCAGAAAUUGCGGGGUUUGCAAAUACUAAGGUCAGUGAAAAUAAAGAUGUCAUUUCCACUCCCACCCCCCACCAUAACCAUGGACCCUCUACAUUCUGUGCAUGGAAGCUCAGAGGGUCUGUGAACCUUUGGUUUUAAAAAAAAGCCUUGGUGGAGUUCUCUGGUGGCACAGUGGGUUCGGGAUCUGGCACUGACACUGCAGCGGCUGGGGUCACUGCUGUGGUGCUGGUUUGAUCCCUGGCCCUAGAACUUCUGCGGGCCGUGGGCAUGGCCAAAAGCAAGCAAGCAAACAAACAAAAGCAGCUUCGGUAUCAUGAAAUCUGUAAUCUACUUUCAGAUAUUUACUUCUAGAUGGUUCGGCCAGUUAGGAAUCCACACUCCAGGGGUGAUGGAUAACAUUAGAUCAGAAGGGUCACACCUCAAGGCACCUGCUGCCAGCUCUUCUGUUUUGUCUCUGGUCAAUGCCAAAUGUCUUACUAAAUAGCACAGAGAAUGGCAAAGGGGGGUCUUAUGGUUCCUGUCGUGGCUCAGUGGUUAACGAAUCCGACUAGGAACCAUGAAUUUGCGGGUUUGAUCCCUGCCUGGCCUUGCUCGGUGGGUUAAGGAUCCGGCGUUGUCGUGAGCUGUGGUGUAGGUUGCAGAUGCAGCUCGGAUCCUGCGUUGCUGUGUUUCUGGUGUAGGCCGGUGGCUACAGCUCUGAUUAGACUCCUGGCCUGGGAACCUCCAUAUGC